rnacentral:rRNA from 1 species
AUGGCUACACUUCUUGAUCCUUGUUACAAGAGGCAUAUGUUGACAGCUUGCUUUGCCAUGCUGCAUGGAAUUGAUCCAUCUUCUUAUGAGUGUGUGGAAUUGGUUGAUGUAUUAGUUGCUAGACUGCAUUCAUUCAUAGAGGAGUAUGAAGUGGAAGCAGAUGAAUAUAGACCAUGUGAACUGAUUUCUUCAGAGAAAGCUCCAACCAUCAUGAACAUCUUAAAUGACAUUGUUGCCAAGCAAAGUCCUGCAGCAGCUCGGCUACAAGGUGAAAUAGAUAUGUACUUGACAGAUGGCCUAGUGCCAUACACAGAAGUAUUUAGUGUGCUGGAUUGGUGGAAAGUAGUUGGAACAAGAUAUCCAACAUUAAUGAAGGUCGCCAGGGAUAUUUUUGCUAUUCCCGUGACAACAGUUGCUUCAGAGUCGGCCUUUAGUACAAGUGGCGGAAUACUUAGUGAGCAUAGGAGCCGCCUAACUCCUAAUAUGGUGGAAGUUUUGAUGUGCUCCCAAGAUUGGCUUAGAAACAAACAAAAAGAAAGGAGAUGUUAG